CAUUUCUGCAUAAACAGCAGCAGCAGCAGUACCACAUCAUGUAUGACACAUAAUAAUACAAAUGACACACAUAACUCAUAUCAUGGGUAUUUUAUAGGAAGAAGAAACAAAGAUUUAAAAAUUUAAUCAAAGGUAAACCUGCAUAUUGUAUUUACAGUCAAAUUUUAUUUAGUAUUUCCUUGUUUUAACAGUUAAAUAAAUAAAUUUGGUGUUUUUACUGUCUUCUGAUUGGUUAAAAUUAUUAGUUUUAUUUUCAAUGUUGUCAAUUUUGAUGGCGAUACGCCCCACUCUGAUGUUGUGUAUUCAUACGCCAACAUGUGUGUAGGUUGUUAUUGUUAAUAUAAAUAACAUGAAUGAUAUAAAAAGUUCUUUGAGCCUUAUUUUUGAUAGAAAUUUAGUUUUAAUGAGGGUGGUAAAGGGUUAUUUUCGUGUAAGGUGAUCGCUGUUUUUUAUUUCAAGUUCAACGUGUUUUUACUUUUUUAUUUGACGUUCAGUCGCGCAAGACGGGUGCCUCCUUCAACGUGUUCUGCUUAUUUAAUUUUACGUGCAUCGAGAUUUUCAAAGUCUUAUUUUGCGUGCUCAGUAUUUUUCAAAUAAAAUUCAAACACUUGGCAGGAUCGCAAAAUACUUUUUUAAAAGCCGUAAACCAAUUAUCUUAAAUGUGUAUACUGAAUCAGGAAUAUCAAGUAAAACAAAGAGUUAAUAUAUACAAGAAGACAGUGACUCAGUCACAAAAGGUUCAAAUAAAAGUAUUUAUUUUUCGUGCCACUUUCAUUACAGAAAUUAUUUCACGUUCAACGUGAAAUUAUGUCAUAUUUCACGUUUUUUUCGUGCAAGCACCCCCCCUUUACCACCCUCUAUAAUGAAUGGCAAUAAUUUAUUUUGAUUUUAUUGAACCAUAAAACUAAUUUUUGACUCUUCACAUUUAACAUAAUCCGCUUCACAGUUUAUUCAAUGUAAAGAGUCAAAAAUUAGUUUUAUAGUUCAAUAAAUUCAAAAUAGAUAAUCAGUCAGAUAUAUAACUCUAUGUAGGGUUAUUACAGAAAAAUUAACAUACAUUGUACAUAUGUUACUGUGGACCUAAAAAUGAAAGAACUGUGAUAACAUAUGUAUGUUACAUGUUUCAAAGGGACAAUAUACAUCAUUAGUUCAGUAAAAAUGUAUACAAGUUCAAUUGAUAUUACUAUUGUUUUUAUACGACCGCAAAAAUUAAAAAUUUUUUGGUCGUAUAUUGGUAUCACUUUGGCGUCUGCGUCGUCCUCGUCCGAAUACUUUUAGUUUUCACACUCUAACUUUAGUAAAAGUGAAUGGAAAUCUAUGAAAUUUUAACACAAGGUUUAUGACCACAAAAGGAAGGAUGGGUUUGAUUUUGGGAGUUUUGGUCCCAACAUUUUAGGAAUUAGGGGCCAAAAAGGGCCCAAAUAAGCAUGUUCUUGGUUUUCACACUCUAACUUUAGUAAACAUGGUAAAAGUGAAUGGAAAUCUAUGAAAUUUUGACACAAGGUUUAUGACCACAAAAGGAAGGUUGGGAUUGAUUUUGGGAGUUUUGGUUAUAACAGUUUAGGAAUAAGGGGCCAAAAAAGGGCCCAGAUAAGCAUUAUUCUUGGUUUUCGCACAAUAACUUUAGCAGAAGUAAAUAGAAAUCAAUGAAAUUUAAACACAAGGUUUAUGACCACAAAAGGAAGGUUGGAUUGAUUUUGGGAGUUGAGGUCCCAACGGUUUAGGAAUUAGGGGCCAAAAAGGGGCCAAAAUAAGCAUUUUUCAGGUCAGGCGGGCGGUCGGUCGGGCGGGCGGGAAUCAAAUGUUGUCCGUGCAUUAACUCAUGAACCGUUCAACCAAAGCUUUUUAAAAUUUUAAUAUGUUGUUACUGACAACUAAAUGAAGGUCAAGUUCAAUAAUGGCGAUUUUGACUUUUACCGUUCAGGAGUUAUGGUUCUUGAAAGAUUGAAAAAUGGAGUUUACAGUCGUGUCCGUGCAUUUACGCAUGAACUGUUCUACCUAAGCUUCCCAAAUUUUAAUAUGUUGUUACUGAUGACAAAAUGGAGGUCAGAUUCAAUAAUGGCGAUUUUGACUUUUACCGUUCAGGAGUUAUGGUUCUUGAUAGAUUGAAAAAUGGAGUUUCCAGUCGUGUCCGUGCAUUUACGCAUGAACUGUUCUACCUAAGCUUCCCAAAUUUUAAUAUGUUGUUACUGAUGACAAAAUGGAGGUCAAGUUCAAUAAUGACGAUUUUGACUUUUACCGUUCAGGAGUUAUGGUUCUUGAAAGAUUGAAAAAUGGUGUUUCCAGUCGUGUCCGUGCAUUUUCUCAUGAACCAUUUAACCAAAGCUUUUGAAAUUUUUAUAUGUUGUUACUGAUGGCAAAUUAAAAGUCAAGUUCAAUUAUGACGAUUUUGACUUUUACUGUUCAGGAGUUAUGGUUCUUGAAGAGUUGUGAAAUGGCGUUUCCAUUCACGUUGUUGCAUUUACUCAUGAACCAUUCAAUCUAAGCUUUUCAAAUUUUAAGAUAUUGAUACUGAUGACAAAAUGGAGGUCAAAUUUGAUAUUGACGAUUUUCACUUUCACCAUUCAUCAGUAAUGGUUCUUGUGAUAUUGCCAGGACACAAAUAAAUAUUAAUAAAUCCGGUUUGCUGUCGUUGUGACAGCCUCUUGUUGGUUAUGGGCCCAGUUUUCAAGUUGGUCCAAAUCAGGAUCCAAAAUUAUUAUAUUAAGUAUUGUGCAUAGCAAGAAAUCUUCAAUCGCACAGUAUUGUGCAAUAGCAAGAAAUUUUCAAUUGCACAGUAUUUCGCAAUAGCAAGAAAUCUUCAAUUGCACAGUAUUGUGCAAUAGCAAGAAAUUUUCAAUUGCACAGUAUUGCGCAAUAGCAAGAAACCUUCAAUUGCACAGUAUUGGUCAAUAGCAAGAAAUCUUCAAUUGCACAGUAUUGGUCAAUAGCAAGAAAUUUUCAAUUGCACAGUUUUGCACAAUAGCCAGAAAUAUUCAAUUGCACAGUUUUGCACAAUAGCCAGAAAUAUUCAAUUGCACAGUAUUGUCCCGUUUUCAAAUUGGUCUACAUCAUUACAUUAAGGUCCAAAUGGUCAAAAAUUAAACUUUGUUAGAUUUCAUCAAAAAUUGAAUAUAUCAUGUAUAUGGGGUUGUUCAAUAUGCUGAAUCUGACCAUGUAUUUAGAUUUUUAAUAUUUGGGCCCGGUUAUUAAAUUGGUCCACAUUGAGGUCUAAAGGGUCUAAAAUUGAACAUUAUUUGAUUUCAUCAAAAAUUGAAUUCUUGGGAAUUUAUGAUAUGCUGAAUCUAACCAUAUAUUUAGAAUUUGGAUAUUGGACCAUAAUAGGUAAAUGUCCAAUUUUAAAUUUGUAAGUUUUUAAGUUUCAGUUCUUAGACCACAUUCAUUCUGUGUCAGAAACCUGUGUUGUGUCAACUAUUUAAUCACAAUCCAAAUUCAGAGCUGUAUCAAGCUUAAAUGUUGUAUCCAUACUUGCCCCAACUGUUCAGGGUUUCCACCUCUGCGGUCGUAUAAAGCUGCACCCUGCGGAGCAUCUGGUUCAUAAGUGGGAACCCAUUGAUUGACUAAUAUACACAUGUAAAUGAUAUACCUGCAAUGAUAUUGUUGGUUUUUUUUCAAAAUUAACUCUACCCUUUUUUAUUGGGAAAAUAUCGUUAUUUUUAUUGAAUUUGGAAAAUUUACAAUAAACCAUGCACUUGACUGAAACUUUAAUUUGCAGACCCCCUUUCAAGGGUCAAACCCUGCUUUGAAAUUAGACCCCUUAUUGUCAGUGAUGAUUCAUAAAUAGACCCUAAAAUCUGCACAUAUAGUCAUUUUAGUCAUGAAAAAUGUAUAAAUGAGUGUUUUUCAGUUUGUAUUCAAUGUUCAAUUACUACUGAGACUGCACUGUUUGGGAAAAAGUUGUCUUUUGGGGAAUAAUUUUAAGCCAUUUUUUUUUCAAAUUGGGAUUCUUCUCCAGGGGAAAAAGUCUUUAUUUUCCAGUAAUUUAAGGCACAAAAUAUCACUGACCUAUGCUUUCCUAGUGUCUGGACUUUUGAAAAAAAGGGGGGGGAGGGGAUUGAAAAGUAUUUUUAAUGAUUUUGUGCUUUAAUAUUAUAUUUUUUUUCUAAUCAAUAUGUGAACAUAUAGGCUCUCUUCACCCCUCCCUAGGCCUGAAUCCCCCAAUGAUGACCAUCAUCUUUUCCUUCUAAUGUGUAUUAUUCAAAAUAAUCAAUUAUUGAAAGCAUUUAAGAUUAGACUUGAUCUGAGAAAAUCAAUAUAAACUUAUAUAAUUGAUAUAACUUUAAACGACAAAUAAAUAAUAAAUGAGCACAUAUAAGCACUUCAUUUCAUCAAAUCAAAAAGAAAAUUGAAGGCAUUUCUUAGAAUUUUAUUAUAAUAUCACAAUAGAGUAAAAAAUGUUUACUAGUUCAGUGAAAAUGAACGUCAUGCUAAACUCGAAAACAAAAUUAUACAUAAAUUUAAAUUAAAAAAUUAUACAAGUACAUGUAUAUCAAUGGGUUAACAUGGUUAAAAUUAAUUCAAUUACGCCAAAUUCAAUGAAAAAUGAAAAACAUGCAGACACUGAUGAUCUAUCUUUUAUAAGCAUGUUAAUAAAGAGGUAUAUGGUUAAGGUUUUUUUUUUAAAGUAAAUUGUUUAAUCUAUAUUAUGUUUUGUAUAUAUAUAUAUUUUAGGAAAAAAACAUAAUCUAUUUCAGAAGGGAGGUAAUAAUUAAAUGUUUUAUUAACAUGAUUAAACAUCAUGAACAUAUUAAAAAACUUUCCAAAAAACUUCUUGUUCCUACAAUGUCCUGUAUAUAUGUGUGGGGUUUUCAUUUGUCAAGGGUUUUAUCCCUUAUUGAAAUCCAUAUUUUAUUAUCAUGUCCAUUCUUACCCAUUAAUACACAGUAUGUCUGUCAAGGUUAAUAACUUACUUACAAAUUGAGGCCCCCCUUAAAAUUUCUUUGAACAACCUAGCUGGUUCUCAUAUUAAAUUCUAGAGUUACACAUGUAAACAUGCUCAUAUAUAUUUAUGGGUAAAUUUUGUUGAAAUCAAUGACUUUCAUAUAUAGUAAUGCAUUGAUUUCUGAAAUUUAAGACUACAGUUGAAUGUAUGUCAUGUAUGUACGAGGUUAAUAUUUUUAACUUUAUUCAAUUACAAUUUAACCAUUGUUAUAGAUUAGCAAUCAUUAUGUCUGAGAACCCAUUAUUGUAGUUAUUAGAUUAUUAUGUACUUCUUAAUUGAUCGUGUUGUUUUGGAAAACUAUUCAUAUUGUAGAAAUACAAUUAACAUCCUUUAUGGAAAACCAAUUCAGCGUCAACUAAAAGGAGUUAAUUCCAUAGAGAGGAAAACCAAUCAAUUUGUAUAAUAGACUUUCAUGGUAUUAUAUUCAUAUCUAUAAACUCUGAUAAGUAUACAAUACAGUGUAUUACAAAAUACCUUUUACAGUUCAAUACUGAUUAUAGAUAAGCGCAUGUUGUUUAUUUUGAAACUUCCUUUUGAGGAAGGCUUUGAACUAUUUUUCGUUCAAUACUGAUUACAGGUAUAGAUAAGCGCAUGUUGUUUAUAUAUUUUGAAAAUUCCUUUUGAAUGUUUGAGGUAGGCUUAUUUGAACUAUUUUUCGUCUGUCAUUGUUUUAUCAAUAUGUAUCAUUAAAGUUUGUUUUUCGCUAGCUAACUCCAAAAAAAUGAUCCUUAUCUUGAGAACAGUUACACAGCUACUUUUGCACAGGUACUAUUUCUGUACUCAAAAAAUGCAGUACUGGAAAUUUACUUUUAAUAUUUUAAUAGUACUAUUUCUUGAAUUUAAAACUAUUGUAAUAUUUAGGUACUUGUAAUUUACAGUACUUAAUUUGUACUAAAUAUUUUGGUACAGAAAUUAUACAAUAUUCCAUGUUUGAAAACUUUAAGAGAUUUGAAAUAGAAAAAAUUUCAAAAUGCUGAAAAUGUAACAGUAGUAACCAAAAAUCUGUAGUACCUAAAUUUCAAGUACAAAUAAAGUACUGUAAAAUACAGGUACCUAAAUCAUUUGUAAAUAUUACAAUAAUUUUAGAGUAACAAAAUAGUACUGAAUUUUAAUAGUAGAUUUCCAGUACUACAAUUUUUUAGUACAGAAAUAGUACCUAUGCAAAAGUAGCUGUGUAGUCUAGAAUACAAUUUAUAACUUUGGAGGCAGCAAAUGUGUGUUCCUAAAUUUUGCUCUCAAAUUAGGAUGGAAAAUCAUGAUAGUUUUACAUGUGAAAGAAAUCUUGUAAUUUUACUGCUCUGAAGCCAUACAACAAUAAUUGUCUCCAAGAUUUAUUCUGUUUCAUGAGGGUAGGCGGAUCUAGGGUCCCCUUUUGUGGGAAAAAUUUGGUUGAUUAUAUAGGGAAUCACUGAAUCAUGACUGGAGCAGGCUCCUCUUACAUGUUUUAAGACAGUUAGUGUCCCUCUUUUCAUGAAAGUUUCUGGAUCCCCGACUGAAAAGUCUAGUUACCGGUAAUUUUACCUUGAAUCACAUAUACAAUGUAUUUAAGAGGGGAAAUAGUUUUUUUCUAAGUUACAUCAAGGACGUAUAUAUGUUAGUUAUACGUCCUUGGUUACAUUAUAUAACCAUGUUUCAUUUUUAGGGCACAAUCAAGGCUUUCCAUCUUUCCUAUCCAUCACCCAUUACUUCUUUAAAUCCUGCAUUAAUUUUCUUUUAUAAUUUGGUCCAAUCAGUUUGCUGCUGAUGAUCACUCAUAUUUUUUUUUACCUCAAGAGAUUUGCCACAAAAGGGGAGGUAAUUUAGGAAGUAUUUUUUGGGAACAACAAAAACAAAUGAGAGAAAAAUUUUGAUAUACCCAUGAAAAAUACUUAAAUAAUUUAAUGGCCAGAAAGCUCAUGCUAUAAACAUGAUAAAUAUAUAAUCCUAUAAUCCGUAAUAUGUUAGGCUGAUUGGAAUAUAUUCAUUCUAUCUUAUAAAUGUAUAAUCUGCUUAGAAUCUUUAUUUUCCUUAAAGUUUCUUUAAAAAAGUAACCUUGCAUAAUAUAAUGUUGGAAGAGUUCCUUUAUCUCUAAUAAUUUGGUAUGUUGGUUGGAAUAUAUUCAUUCUCUCUUUAAUUAUCAUGCUUGAAAUUUUUAUUGUCCUUAAAAUUUCUAAAAAAGACCUUGAGGAGUUCUUUUAUAAAUCUUUAGCAUGUUCAGUAAUCUCAUAUAUAUAUAUAUGCUGUUUGGAAUAUAUUCAUUCUCUCUUAUUAUGCAUAUCUUGCUUUAUUCCUAAAAAAAAGCUUUCAAAAAUAACCUAAUAAAGAGUUCCUUUAUCUUCUGUAAUUCCAUAUCCUGAUUGGAUUAUCAAUGAACUGUGUGUCACUAGCUUAAGUCAAUAAAGAUAAACAUAUUCUGAUAGAGCUGAAUAGACAAGAUACAGAUCAUGCUUCAAUAAUUGGUUCAGUUUCACAUCAAAUCAAUAAAAGAAUCAUCUAAACCUUUGUGUCAUUUCCAAUUCAAUUGUCGUCAGUUUUUAUCUAUGUGACGAUGAUGUGUAUACUUCGUGUCAAUAAUUUUUUAUCAUAAUUACGUACAUCGAACAAUCGUGAUAUGGAAGGUUAUUUUUUGUUAAUGAUAGCAUUGUCAUUGUCAAGGGAUUAAAUUCCACAGUGAAUGAACAUGGUUUAGUUCAAGUAAUGGAUAUAGAACAAUUGGAUUGUAUUGCAUUUCAAAUUCAGGAUAAAAGUUUUUUAAAAGGAUGCAGGUAGGGUUAUUAUGGUAUAUUUACACGAUAUAAAAUGGUAUUAAUAUAUUAAACAUCAUAAACAGGACAACCAUAUUAUUAUGGCAUAUAAACAUGAUAAAUAUGAUAUACAAUGAAUAUCUUGGACUAUUAUCAGUGGCGGAUCCAGGGGGGGUUCCGGGGGUGCGCACCCCCCCUUUAUUUUUGCCGAUCAAUGCAUUUGUAUCGGGACAUAUGUUUUGCACCCCCCUUUGAUUACCCUGGAUGCAAAUGGGUUAUAUUGGCACCCCCUUUCGAUUAAUUCCUGCAUCCGCCCCUGAUUAUACUAACUACAUGUAUAUCAUGUAUAUCAUAAUAGAAAAAGUAUCAAAUAUUGGAAUAAUAAAACACAAAAUGAAUCAAAUAGUUUGAAUUAGAUUGUUUUGAAUUUCCUGGAGUUUCUUUUUAAUAAUAAAAACAAGUCAGGCCUUACUUUAAAAAAAAGAUUUAAUUUGUCAUUUAGUCAGAGAGAUAGCUUUGAAUAGGAUAAAAAAUAAUUGAAUUAAGUCAACGAAUUGCAUGCUGGGUAAAAAUAUUUUUGUACAGGAUUGUAUUAAUAUGUUUGUUUUGUUUUAAAAGCCAGAUAUAUGAUUAUAUACUGUUUGUUUUCUCACAGACAAUGGCAGAAGAUCUUUGUGGCUUUAAAAACCUAGCAUCAACUAGUUACUGGUAACAUGCAUGGUAACGGAAAAGCAAAACCUGUAAAAAGAAGACUGAUUUAUUUGUACUUUAUAAAACAACUUUUAUUAUACAUUGUAUUUAUGUGUGACCACAUUGCUAUAUUUUUAUAACCCUUCGUGGCAAAAGGGGCAUUAAAUUUUACACUUGUCCGUCUGACGUCUGUACAUUUCUUUAAACUUGAGUUUGCUUCAACCAAAUGUUAUGAAACUUAUACACAACUCUUUCUACCAAAAACAUGUUUAUGGAUAUUUCCGUUUAUUUUUCAGCAUGUCUUAGGAGUUAUUCGAAGAUAAUCAAUAUUUUGAACAAGUGGACAACAGAUAGUAUUAGAUGAAAUUUUGACCAAUCACCUACAACGAUUGAUAUAUGCAAGGACAAAGAGCAUGGCAUUGAGUAGAAACGAUCUGAUAGGUAUUCUUGUGGUUCCAGCAACGCUUGCACUGCUUUUCGUGUUUUUAGCUGUCUACUUCUUCAUAAAACACUGGCUUAUCAAAAUUAUGAUGUGUUUUUGGCGCAGAGGAAUGUGUUUAUCGUGUCAAAUGAAUAGUUGUGAAAAAUUAAUGGAAGAAGAAAAUGAAAUAUAUGUGACAGACACAGAAUUUCUUCACCCAGAAAAGUCAGUGCCACAUACAUUGUCUGUAGAGUUGACAGUGUCAGGAUCUCCAUGUAGUGGACGUGAUCGGAGUAAUAAUGUGUAGUAUGAAAAAAAAAUGGCAGCAAACAUCAAAGCUCUAUCGAAAUCAUUCCUUUGUUUAUUCCUAGUUGCCAUAGAAGAGGUGGUUUAAAACAAUUUCAAUAAGAUUUAUGAAUUGAAUAGAUAACCAUUAUACAGUAUAGUACACACUUGGUAGUAAAUUUUCACAGUUUUUGAAAUCCAUUGAUACAGAAUGGACGAGAUUAAAAAUGUAUCUAAAAAGAUUAAUCUCCAUUGUUACCAUGAUUACAUUGGAUGAAAUUGUCAUAAACUAUGAAUCAUUAUUCAUGGGGUAAAUAUUAUCACCGCCGUCAUAAAACUUUACUCGACUCCAAAAAAAGUUACAAUGAAUUUAACAUAUAUAAUUUUGGCCAAAUUUGUAAAAGUCUCUGAACGUUAAAAUGAUACAUGUAGUUUAUAAUCCAUGAACAUUUGAAUUUUUCCUUGAAAUUAAUCCACAAACAUUGGUACCCAC
rnacentral:lncRNA from 1 species